UGCCAGCAGCCGCGGUAAUACGGAGGGGGCGAGUGUUAUUCGGAAUCAUCGGGCGUAAAGGGCGCGUAGGCGGCCUGUCAAGUCAGUGGUGAAAUCCCUCGGCUCAACCGAGGAACUGCCUCUGAAACUGGCGAACUUGAGUACGGGAGAGGAAAGUGGAAUUCCGAGUGUAGGGGUGAAAUCCGUAGAUAUUCGGAGGAACACCAGUGGCGAAGGCGGCUUUCUGGACCGAUACUGACGCUGAGACGCGAAAGCGUGGGGAGCAAACAGGAUUAGAUA
rnacentral:rRNA from 1 species